GGAAUCAUUUUCAGGUUCAGGUAAAACAGUAUCUGCAUAAUGUCACUGAUCUUGAGUUCUUAGUGUUGAAGGUUCAGGCUCCAUUCCCUGCGCUCAUUGCGGUUGUGUACAGACCUCCAGACUACAGUUUGGCACCGUUCAUGCAAAACUUGCCACAGCAGAAUCUUCAUUCAGGUGUUCUGAGGACAUAUUACAGUUACCACAACCCUGUCUUUUGUGUCCUGUCCUCCAGCCAAUCAUGAAGUCGUCUGAUGUAUUUUUUCAGACAGGGCACACACAGUCCUGUUUCCUUUGUGGCAAAACCUUCAAGCUUCACCAUCCUCAGCUGAAACAACAACAUCUUAACACCUUCUUCAUGAACUGCUGAGCCAAACCUGAUCCAUCAGUGCUGGACUGCACAGAUAACUACAUGCCACAAGGAGACUGCUGU